GGGUGGGGGGAGGAGAUUUGUAGUGUUACUUGGAGCUAUAAAUUCCCGGUGGGACAGAAUGCUGCCCGUCUCCCCCUGUGCCAUUACCCUUAGACUGGGUCACUGUUUUACUUUGUAUUCUGUGAGAUCAGUUUCCCGCGGGAUCUGUAGGGCUGCGCAGUGAUCAGUCAGAUCCUUACCGUACUCUAGCGCUCACAUUCUGUAUUCCCUUCUACUGUUCUGCCGUAAUGAGCCGAGUAUAUUAACGUCAGUGAAUUGUUCUCUCCGGUAAAAAGCAACUCAGACACAGGGGGAAGAUAGAAUCUCCUAGAGCUCCAUGAGGCGUGAGAACCUUGCUUCUGGGGCAGCAAACAGUCACCAUUGUUGAGGUGGGGCCAUGACCAGAGGUUGGACCUUCAUGGAGCGGCUCGGUCAAUUGUUGAACCUUUGAGAGGAGCUUGAAAUGAAACUUCUGACAAGCACUGCCCUAAGGUUGGAUCUGGCUGAACUGUCUAUGGGAGAUAAAGGCACAGGAUCACAGGUGCAUGAUGGGAAAGCGAUUCACAUUUGAAUCCUGAGCGAGAAGGAGCCAUGUGAGCAAGUCGUAUUGUUUGGUGUUCGGGCCGCGCAGCGCAGGAGGAGUUCCAUCACUAUACCAUUAACUGAGAGACUUCAAAACCCAAUAGGACUUUGCCUGGGAGUCCCUGCCCUUUGUACCUAUUGUGACCAGCCCAUUCUGGAACCCUGCUCCGCUGUGUAGGAGUUUUCUAGUGCAUUUUACUGCUGAGCCAUGGGAAGCCUUUUUUUCUGCUUGCUGUGACCCAAGGUUUGUAUACUAGACUCUGCCUUGCCUGCUGCCUGCCCUGACGGCCAACUUCCAAUCUGUAUCUUCCAAUAAAAUCAAGACUUGUUUCUUUCAAAUUCCUGACCUUUAUUUGGAAUGCUUAUCAUCCAAUUUGAAUUAAAAUCUCAGUAUUUCAGCUACUUUUUCUGUCUCACAUGCUCUGUGAGCAAUAAUGUAUCUUUUCUGCACAAUUGUGGAGUGGUUGCUUAGUGCACAGCUUAGAGGUAACAUAUAAAUAAUUGGAUGUAGUCAGAGAAGAGGAUCCCCUGAGCUAGAAUAUGAGCAGCCAAUAGUGACAACAAGAAGUGUUAGUAGGCAUAGGUAUCCAUGCAAGUGUGGAGCAUGAAGGGUCACUUGUACGUAGGGUGUACUCAACAGAACUGUUGGGUAUAGUUGCAUGCAAAGUAAGACCUACCUGCCACCACCUAGCAGUCACUUUGUAUUUGUAGCUCAGCAAGAUCCAGAGGGAGGCAAUGGAUUUUGUGCACCCCUAAUAAUAGGCUAGAAGACUCAUGAGUAAAUGGCGCACAUAGUGCCAAGUGCUUUUUUGGAUGCAAUUUGCUAUUUUCCCCCACAAUUACAGCAUCAUUGUGCCUGUGUGCCAAGCUGCGAAUGAUGUUAUUAACGGCAAUAGCAUGGGAUUAUGAACAAGUCAGUAGUGCUGAUUGGCCUGCCCCCUAGUGGAACCCUGAAAUGCCCCAGCUUGAAAUGAUUCCAGGGUUCUCUUGCAUCAAUUCCUACACUUGUGCAUAUCAUUCAUUAGAGCAGGCUGGUUGGGCACAUUAGUGCUCCCCACAAGUACUCGCUCAUUUGCACAUUAGCGCUCCCCGCGAGUAGCAAGUACACGCAAGUGCAAGGAGCAUGUAUGGGGCGAGUACCUUUUAUGAAUGCUGUUGAUGUUUUUUCAAAUAUAGAGGGGGUUUGCCAGGUCGGCCUUUGGUAUUGCACUUGUAAUCCUGUCUCAGUUUGCACUACUGAAUCAGGUCCAUAAAUAUUUGGACAGAGACAACUUUUUUCUAAUUUUGGUUUUGUACAACUGACAUUUUUAUGCAAUCGUUUUGUUCACCCCGCUGAAUUAAAGCUAAAAGUCUCAACUGCA